rnacentral:rRNA from 1 species
GAUGAACGCUGGCGGCGUGCCUAAUACAUGCAAGUCGAGCGAACAGACGAGGAGCUUGCUCCUUUGACGUUAGCGGCGGACGGGUGAGUAACACGUGGAUAACCUACCUAUAAGACUGGGAUAACUUCGGGAAACCGGAGCUAAUACCGGAUAACAUGUUGAACCGCAUGGUUCAACAGUGAAAGUCGGUCUUGCUGUCACUUAUAGAUGGAUCCGCGCCGCAUUAGCUAGUUGGUAAGGUAACGGCUUACCAAGGCAACGAUGCGUAGCCGACCUGAGAGGGUGAUCGGCCACACUGGAACUGAGACACGGUCCAGACUCCUACGGGAGGCAGCAGUAGGGAAUCUUCCGCAAUGGGCGAAAGCCUGACGGAGCAACGCCGCGUGAGUGAAGAAGGUCUUCGGAUCGUAAAACUCUGUUAUUAGGGAAGAACAAAUGUGUAAGUAACUAUGCACGUCUUGACGGUGCCUAAUCAGAAAGCCACGGCUAACUACGUG